rnacentral:rRNA from 1 species
CACGUAGUUAGCCGGGGCUUCUUAGUCGGGUACUGUCAAUUUCUUCCCUGCUGAUAGAGCUUUACAUACCGAAAUACUUCUUCACUCACGCGGCGUUGCUGCAUCAGGGUUUCCCCCAUUGUGCAAUAUUCCCCACUGCUGCCUCCCGUAGGAGUUUGGGCCGUGUCUCAGUCCCAAUGUGGCCGAUCACCCUCUCAGGUCGGCUACUGAUCGUUGCCUUGGUGAGCCGUUACCUCACCAACCAGCUAAUCAGACGCGGGUCCAUCUUACACCGAUACAAUCUUUUCCGUCAGAGUCAUGCGACCCCAGCGGGUUAUGCGGUAUUAGCAGCCAUUCUAACUGUUAUCCCCUGUGUAAGGCAGGUUCCCCACGCGUUACUCACCCGUCCGCCGCUCAGUCAAACUGUUUCAUUCCGAAAAAUCAAACAGAGUGACUUCGCUCGACUUGCAUGUUGUUAAAGUCACGCCGCCAGCGUUCAUCCUGAGCCGAGGACUACAAACUCUACG